GACGAACGCUGGCGGCGUGCUUAACACAUGCAAGUCGAACGGAAAGGCCCUGCUUUUGUGGGGUGCUCGAGUGGCGAACGGGUGAGUAACACGUGAGUAACCUGCCCUUGACUUUGGGAUAACUUCAGGAAACUGGGGUUACUACAGGAUAGGAGAUCAUGCUGCAUGGGGGGGGUUGGAAAGUUUGGGCGGUUGGGGAUGGACGAGCGGCUGAUUAGUUGGUUGGUGGGGUAGUGGCUUACCAAGGCUUUGACGGGUAGCCGGCCUGGGAGGGUGGCCGGCGACAUUGGGACUGAGAUACGGCCCAGACUCCUACGGGAGGCAGCAGUGGGGAAUAUUGCACAAUGGGCGGAAGCCUGAUGCAGCAACGCCGCGUGCGGGAUGACGGCCUUCGGGUUGUAAACCGCUUUCGCCUGUGACGAAGCGUGAGUGACGGUAAUGGGUAAAGAAGCACCGGCUAACUACGUG
rnacentral:rRNA from 1 species